rnacentral:rRNA from 1 species
CGCGUAGGCGGAUGUUUAAGUCAGAGGUGAAAGCCCAGGGCUCAACCUUGGAACUGCCUUUGAUACUGGACAUCUUGAGUAUGGGAGAGGUGAGUGGAACUCCGAGUGUAGAGGUGAAAUUCGUAGAUAUUCGGAAGAACACCAGUGGCGAAGGCGACUCACUGGCCCAUUACUGACGCUGAGGCGCGAAAGCGUGGGGAGCAAACAGGAUUAGAUACCCUGGUAGUCCACGCUGUAAACGAUGAGUGCUAGUUGUCGGCAUGCAUGCAUGUCGGUGACGCAGCUAACGCAUUAAGCACUCCGCCUGGGGAGUACGGUCGCAAGAUUAAA